rnacentral:rRNA from 1 species
UUAAGUGAAUAAGGGCGCACGGUGGAUGCCUUGGCACUAGGAGCCGAUGAAGGACGGGACUAACACCGAUAUGCUUUGGGGAGCUGUACGUAAGCUAUGAUCCAGAGAUUUCCGAAUGGGGGAACCCAGCAUCUUUAAUAGGAUGUUACGAUUGUGUGAAUACAUAGCACAUUCGAGGUAGACGCAGAGAACUGAAACAUCUAAGUACCUGCAGGAAGAGAAAGAAAAUUCGAUUCCCUGAGUAGCGGCGAGCGAAACGGGAAAAGCCCAAACCAACAAGCUUGCUUGUUGGGGUUGUAGGACUCCAAUAUGGUCGUUCUUUCAGAUAGUCGAAUGACUUGGAAAAGUCAGUCAAAGAGGGUAAAAACCCCGUAGACGAAAUGUGGAAGACACCUAGGAGGAUCCUGAGUACGGCGGAACACGAGAAAUUCCGUCGGAAUCCGGGAGGACCAUCUCCCAAGGCUAAAUACUCCCUAGUGACCGAUAGUGAACCAGUACCGUGAGGGAAAGGUGAAAAGCACCCCGGAAGGGGAGUGAAAUAGAACCUGAAACCGUGUGCCUACAACAAGUCAAAGCCCGUUAAUGGGUGAUGGCGUGCCUUUUGUAGAAUGAACCGGCGAGUUACGAUUGCAUGCGAGGUUAAGUUGAAGAGACGGAGCCGCAGCGAAAGCGAGUCUGAAUAGGGCGUUUGAGUAUGUAGUCGUAGACCCGAAACCAUGUGAUCUACCCAUGUCCAGGUUGAAGGUGCGGUAAAACGCACUGGAGGACCGAACCCACGUACGUUGAAAAGUGCGGGGAUGAGGUGUGGGUAGCGGAGAAAUUCCAAACGAACUUGGAGAUAGCUGGUUCUCUCCGAAAUAGCUUUAGGGCUAGCCUCGGAAUUGAGAAUGAUGGAGGUAGAGCACUGUUUGGACUAGGGGCCCAUCUCGGGUUACCGAAUUCAGAUAAACUCCGAAUGCCAUUCAUUCAUAUCCGGGAGUCAGACUGUGAGUGAUAAGAUCCAUAGUCGAAAGGGAAACAGCCCAGACCACCAGCUAAGGUCCCAAAAUAUAUGUUAAGUGGAAAAGGAUGUGGGGUUGCACAGACAACUAGGAUGUUGGCUUAGAAGCAGCCACCAUUUAAAGAGUGCGUAAUAGCUCACUAGUCGAGUGACCCUGCGCCGAAAAUGUACCGGGGCUAAACAUAUUACCGAAGCUGUGGAGUACACCUUUAGGUGUAUUGGUAGGAGAGCGUUCUAAGGGCGUCGAAGGCAGAUCGUGAGGACUGCUGGAGCGCUUAGAAGUGAGAAUGCCGGUAUGAGUAGCGAAAGACAGGUGAGAAUCCUGUCCACCGAAUGACUAAGGUUUCCUGGGGAAGGCUCGUCCGCCCAGGGUUAGUCGGGACCUAAGCCGAGGCCGAUAGGCGUAGGCGAUGGAUAACAGGUUGAUAUUCCUGUACCCGUUGUUUUUGUUUGAGCAAUGGAGGGACGCAGGAGGCUAAGGAAUGCAGACGAUCGGAAAUGUCUGUCCAAGCAGUAAGUCUGAAGAGGAGUCAAAUGCUUCUUUUCUUAAGGACAAGCUGUGAUGGGGAGGGAAAUAAUAGUACCGAAGUUCCUGAUGUCACACUGCCGAGAAAAGCUUCUAGUGAGAAAACAGCGGCCCGUACCGCAAACCGACACAGGUAGUCGAGGAGAGAAUCCUAAGGUGAGCGAGAGAACUCUCGUUAAGGAACUCGGCAAAAUGACCCCGUAACUUCGGGAGAAGGGGUGCUGAUCAUACGAUCAGCCGCAGUGAAUAGGCCCAAGCGACUGUUUAUCAAAAACACAGGUCUCUGCAAAAUCGUAAGAUGAAGUAUAGGGGCUGACGCCUGCCCGGUGCUGGAAGGUUAAGAGGAGUGCUUAGCGCAAGCGAAGGUACGAAUUGAAGCCCCAGUAAACGGCGGCCGUAACUAUAACGGUCCUAAGGUAGCGAAAUUCCUUGUCGGGUAAGUUCCGACCCGCACGAAAGGCGUAACGAUUUGGGCACUGUCUCAACGAGAGACUCGGUGAAAUUUUAGUACCUGUGAAGAUGCAGGUUACCCGCGACAGGACGGAAAGACCCCAUGGAGCUUUACUGUAGUUUGAUAUUGAGUGUCUGUACCGCAUGUACAGGAUAGGUAGGAGCCGUAGAAAUCGGAACGCUAGUUUCGAUGGAGGCGCUGGUGGGAUACUACCCCUGCGUUAUGGCCACUCUAACCCGCACCACUGAUCGUGGUGGGAGACAGUGUCAGAUGGGCAGUUUGACUGGGGCGGUCGCCUCCUAAAAGGUAACGGAGGCGCCCAAAGGUUCCCUCAGAAUGGUUGGAAAUCAUUCGAAGAGUGUAAAGGCAGAAGGGAGCUUGACUGCGAGACCAACAAGUCGAGCAGGGACGAAAGUCGGGCUUAGUGAUCCGGUGGUUCCGCAUGGAAGGGCCAUCGCUCAACGGAUAAAAGCUACCCUGGGGAUAACAGGCUUAUCU